rnacentral:lncRNA from 1 species
CGAAAACACAUAAUAGGGGAUUAGUGAAACUCUAAACAUGUAACAAACUAAUAAAAAUAAAGACAACAGUAAUAAAUUCAUAAGUUGCCAAUAGGCGACAAAACAACUAAAAAUAAUACUAACCAAACUUAAGACCCCAAAAUAAAAUAAAAUAAUAAUAACACUAAUAAUAAUAAUAAUUUAGCAUACUAGCUAGUCACUAUCUAAUCUUAUAUAAAUGUCAUUAAACAAGAUGAGCUCACACACAUGCUAAUGAAGGGAUUAAAAUUAUUCAAGUUGAUCAUUCUUAAAGCAGGGAGCAAUAACUACUCAAAAGAAAAAGCUAAAAUGCAUCUCAUUUGGAUUUAACUAAGUGCAAACCCCUCCUUUAUUUCAAAUAAACAAACUGAAAAACUAAAUAAUGUGUAAUCGAAUUACUGGUAGCUUAUGUUAUAUUUAAAGAG